UUGAACGCUGGCGGAAUGCUUUACACAUGCAAGUCGAGCGGCAGCGCGGGGGCAACCCUGGCGGCGAGCGGCGAACGGGUGAGUAAUGUAUCGGAACGUACCCUGUCGUGGGGGAUAACACAGCGAAAGCUGUGCUAAUACCGCAUACGACCUGAGGGUGAAAGCGGGGGAUCGCAAGACCUCGCGCGAUAGGAGCGGCCGAUAUCGGAUUAGCUUGUUGGUGAGGUAAAGGCUCACCAAGGCGACGAUCCGUAGCUGGUCUGAGAGGACGACCAGCCACUCUGGAACUGAGACACGGUCCAGACUCCUACGGGAGGCAGCAGUGCGGAAUUUUGGACAAUGGGGGCAAGCCUGAUCCAGCCAUUCCGCGUGAGUGAAGAAGGCCUUCGGGUUGUAAAGCUCUUUCAGCCGGGAAGAGAUCGCAUCUCCUAAUAUGGGGUGUGGAUGACGGUACCGGAAGAAGAAGCACCGGCUAACUACGU
rnacentral:rRNA from 1 species